GACGAGCGCUGGCGGCGUGCCUAAUACAUGCAAGUAGAACGCUGACGGAGGAGCUUGCUUCUCUGGAUGAGUUGCGAACGGGUGAGUAACGCGUAGGUAACCUGCCUGGUAGCGGGGGAUAACUAUUGGAAACGAUAGCUAAUCCCGCAUAAUAUUGACUAUUGCAUGAUAGUCAGUUGAAAGGUGCAACUGCACCACUACCAGAUGGACCUGCGUUGUAUUAGCUAGUUGGUGGGUAACGGCUCACCAAGGCGACGAUACAUAGCCGACCUGAGAGGGCGGACGAGCAACCUGGGACCGGGACACGGGCCAGGAUCCUUCGGGGAGCAACAAGAGGGAAUCUUCGGAAAUGGAGGGAAGUCUGACCGAACAACGCCGCGGGAGGUAAGAAGGUUUUCGGGUCGGAAAGGUCUGUUGUAAGAGAAGAACGAGUGUGAGACUGGAAAGCUCACGCUGUGACGGUACCUUACCAGAAAGGGACGGCUAACUACGUG
rnacentral:rRNA from 1 species